rnacentral:rRNA from 1 species
AUUGAACGCUGGCGGCAUGCCUUACACAUGCAAGUCGAACGGCAGCACGGGGGCAACCCUGGUGGCGAGUGGCGAACGGGUGAGUAACAUAUCGGAACGUGCCCUGGAGUGGGGGAUAACUAGUCGAAAGAUUAGCUAAUACCGCAUACGAUCUACGGAUGAAAGUGGGGGAUCGCAAGACCUCAUGCUCGUGGAGCGGCCGAUAUCUGAUUAGCUAGUUGGUGGGGUAAAGGCCUACCAAGGCAUCGAUCAGUAGCUGGUCUGAGAGGACGACCAGCCACACUGGGACAGAGACACGGCCCAGACUCCUACGGGAGGCAGCAGUGGGGAAUUUUGGACAAUGGGCGCAAGCCUGAUCCAGCAAUGCCGCGUGAGUGAAGAAGGCCUUCGGGUUGUAAAGCUCUUUUGUCAGGGAAGAAACGGUGAGGGCUAAUAUCCUUUGCUAAUGACGGUACCUGAAGAAUAAGCACCGGCUAACUACGUGCCAGCAGCCGCGGUAAUACGUAGGGUGCAAGCGUUAAUCGGAAUUACUGGGCGUAAAGCGUGCGCAGGCGGUUGUGCAAGACCGAUGUGAAAUCCCCGGGCUUAACCUGGGAAUGGCAUUGGUGACUGCACGGCUAGAGUGUGCCAGAGGGGGGUAGAAUUCCACGUGUAGCAGUGAAAUGCGUAGAGAUGUGGAGGAAUACCGAUGGCGAAGGCAGCCCCCUGGGAUAACACUGACGCUCAUGCACGAAAGCGUGGGGAGCAAACAGGAUUAGAUACCCUGGUAGUCCACGCCCUAAACGAUGUCAACUAGUUGUCGGGUCUUAAUUGACUUGGUAACGCAGCUAACGCGUGAAGUUGACCGCCUGGGGAGUACGGUCGCAAGAUUAAAACUCAAAGGAAUUGACGGGGACCCGCACAAGCGGUGGAUGAUGUGGAUUAAUUCGAUGCAACGCGAAAAACCUUACCUACCCUUGACAUGGCAGGAAUCCCGGAGAGAUUCGGGAGUGCUCGAAAGAGAACCUGCACACAGGUGCUGCAUGGCUGUCGUCAGCUCGUGUCGUGAGAUGUUGGGUUAAGUCCCGCAACGAGCGCAACCCUUGUCAUUAGUUGCUACGAAAGGGCACUCUAAUGAGACUGCCGGUGACAAGCCGGAGGAAGGUGGGGAUGACGUCAAGUCCUCAUGGCCCUUAUGGGUAGGGCUUCACACGUCAUACAAUGGUACAUACAGAGGGCCGCCAACCCGCGAGGGGGAGCUAAUCCCAGAAAGUGUAUCGUAGUCCGGAUUGCAGUCUGCAACUCGACUGCAUGAAGUUGGAAUCGCUAGUAAUCGCGGAUCAGCAUGUCGCGGUGAAUACGUUCCCGGGUCU